rnacentral:misc_RNA from 1 species
GACAGACUGAUACACCACCCCUGAAAAAUGAUCACUAAGGGGUAUAAAAGAAUUUAUCCAACGGAAUUCUACGACAUUAUCAAGAAGACGGCCGUUAGACAAUCUACAAAGAGAAGACCUCCAGAGAUUUUAAAAAAGUCGGGUGAUUAAUAAAACAAGAUGCAUCUGAUUGCGUGUUGCUUUGCGGUUACGGUUUUUGGUGUUGUUUUGGGACAUGGAUUGCACGUGGAAGGUGCGCCAGUAGAAACGAUGCAGCAGGAUAGUGCCCUGACAAGUCUCAUUCGCUACAGCAGAGGAUUGGAUAAAGAGUUGCAGCUGGCCAAAUUUCUCCUCACACGUCAAGGGAUUCUUAACUCCAAUGGCAAGAGAAAUUCGGAGCUGAUAAAUUCUUUGCUUGGUUUACCGAAGAAUAUCAAUAAAAUUGGCAAGUGACACAAAAACACCGACUGCAUAGUUUAGACUAUAGUUUGCUGAAUUUCAGAAACGCACAGCUCCUUUUCAGUUCAAUCGUAAUUAUUUUUUUUUUUGAGCUAAUGGCGCGAAUAAAAUAAUUCGGCGAAGCAAUGAAUAAUUUGAUUUUUUUUCUCUUGUCUUUAUUUAUUAUUGACGAAUCGACUUGUACUGCAGAUUUGUAUGCGGUGUGAGCGAUUAAACUUUAUUAGUAUGAUGUAUAACCAUAUGAACAAACCCUAUGACACUUAUAUCAAUAAAAUGAAUAGAUAUACACAUAAAUAAGGAAGAUUGGAUUUGUUUUUCAACACUUACCCAUUCAGAUCCCUUCAUUACAUCACAAUAUUGAUAUGCAAUUAAUUGAAAAUAAGAUCCGUGUAAUUAAAAUGCCAUAGAUGACAAAUUAAUUCAGUGAGAAAGGAAAUAAAUACCUGUUUAUCUCAUAUUGGUCAUUCACCCAGGAUUAUAAUAACCGGUAAACAGAUAUAUGUGGAGCAACUAUCGAUCCCAAAAUUAUGAAUUAGAGCUCACCUGGUAAAUGUAAAUCAAUUGGGAAAUUAUUAUAUUUGAUGGAACGGCAUAAUUCACAAUCUAUUUCUCAUCAUUUUGAACAAUAUUGAAUGACAAAUGAUAUGCAAAUGUCAAUGAUUAAUUGACCUCCAUAGGCCAGGAUUCGAUAAACCUGCUUUGGAAGAACUAAAAAAAUAUGUUAAAGGGUGCUUGUUAACGACAGAGCUAGUUAACAUCAAAUAGAAUGAAAAAAAAGGUAAACAAAUUUAUACCAUUAAAUGCGAAGGAAAAAUGCGCCUAGUCAGUUGAUAUUGUCCAGUAUGCACACACCUAUUUAUAU